CAGAAAUAAUACAGCUGCUAAGAAAUACAGCCAUCCCGGGCUCUAGGCAUCAAAGCUUCUAACCCAGUGCAGUGUACACAUAUAGGUUCUGUUUUUGCCCUCGGACAUGAAGCUGCUUCCCUGACUUGUAGAGACCUACCUGGAAAAAUACCAAGAGGCAAAGCCAUCAUGCAGUAAAUAUCCACGUGCCCUCCAGUAAGCCACCUCCCACCAGAUAAUCC
rnacentral:lncRNA from 1 species